UUAGAGUGCUUGCGUAGAUUCU
rnacentral:siRNA from 1 species